UCAAAGUUUUGGGACACGUGGCAGCUGUUAACUGGUCAGUACACCUUACUUUCAUAUAAAGGUGUAAAUCAGACUUACUGGGCCUAAGUACAGUUUUUGGGGCCAGAAGAAGGUCUUUUUAGUACGUUUUCAGAGAAACGUACUUUUAGGCCUGUCACCUUCAGGCCCUUUUGUACUUUUAUUCCCCUGCAUGUAUGCCACAUGUUAGGCUCAGAUGAAGCCACGUGUCAGUACCAGAGCCGUUUAUUUUUUAGGCUACAACAGAAGCAUUCAGUAGCACUAGUCGUAUUUCUAAGGAUCAGAAAUGCAACAUUUCUCCAGAGACCACCUUUGCUCCUCAUACUCGUCAAGGUACGAAGUUGCGAGAUAUCUUGAUGUCUGAUAAAUCGAACUUGUCAUAUGCGGAUUUCCAUCAUGCGAUCACUAGAAAUUCCGAUGAUGCCUUGCCUAAAUAUGUAGGUGUAGGUUGCCAACAAUGGCGGGUGUCAGAUAGAAGGAUCUGUAAAGAGGAUGAGCUAUCAGGUACAUGUUACACUUACCAAGUUAUUUAGAGAAAGGAAAGAAAUUUCAGGAGAAAGGACUGAAUGUUGGUGUUCUUGACUCGAGGUGCCUUGAGAACUGGCGGUAUAGUAAAAAACAGAUAUGAUGUUACAGUAUUAAGGGCCCUCAAUCCAUCUUAUAUCUACCUUUUCUUUAGGAAGAAUGGUAUCCAAGCGUGGUCAGGUCUUGGUGGCUGUGUUUUGUGCAUCACAGGUAAUUUAAAUAGUAUUUUUGGUUGUGAUUGCCAUGAAGUUAGCAACAGAUAUCAUUUCUACUUGACUUCUUUAAUAAGUCAAAUUGUUGUCGUUCUUUGUACAAUCAUUCCUUCAAUCGAUCACUGCUGCAUAAUUAGUAUGAUACAUUUCCUAUUGUUUUGCUUGCUGCAAGUAAUCCCCUUGGUUCUUUCUUAACCAGAUUAAGUUGUUUUUAUUCAGAGAAGAAUUUCUAACAAGUUGUGUUUGAAAGCCUAAAGAAAUGUCGUUUCUUUUUCAGAAUGCUGAAUUACUAUUCAAAAAGUUUAUGACGUUAUGUUAACUUACCUAUGUUAACAUUGUAAUUUGUUCGAGCUGUGUGAUCGCAGGAGCUGAAGCAAUAUUUGCUGAUCUAGCUCACUUCUCUGUAUGAUUCAUUCAGGCAGAUGGAAUUCACUUGUGUUGUGUUCCCCUGCAUUGUGUUAGCUUACAUGGGCCAAGCAACGUACCAGAAGGACUAUUCUGGCCAGUCUUUGUGAUUGUUACACUCGCUGCUGUUAUUGCCAGUCAGGCCAUCAUAUCUGCUACCUUUUCAGUUACGAAGCAAGCCAUGACCCUGUCAUGUUUCUCGAGGCUGAAGAUAAUUCACACCUCGAAGAGAUUUUGCUCUUGAGGCUGACUUGAAUGAUGAACUGGAUAUUGAUAGUGUCUCAGUGAGAUCAAGGGAUGCAGAAGCUACUGAUGAUGUUGGAGAUGAGCUGCGAACUCCAUUGAUGCAUGAUCAACGAUUAGGAGAACCAAAAGCACUGAAAUCAGGAGAACAUGGAGAGUGUAUUGUGGUCAGAGGAUGAUCCUAGCUGGCUACGCUAAAUUAUUUAAACAAUCAAACACAAGACGAUGGAGAUUGAAGACGAUGGUCAAGUUUGAAUUGUAUAUAUUAUUUAAUUAUUUUAGAAUUUUAGUUUUAGUAGCUAGCAUUAGAUUAUAGAAAUUUUAUUUUAAGACAUUAUUAGAAGAAAUUGAUAUUUUGAAUAAAAUUGAUUUUGUAUAUAAAUUAAAUGUAGCAAAUAUUUUUUUGAUAUGAUGAAUAAAGCGAGCAAGAAUUUAUAUUUAAUAAUAUUGUUGUGGCUAUUGAUAAAUUGUUAUACAAACCUGACAAA